rnacentral:rRNA from 1 species
AUUGAACGCUGGCGGCAGGCCUAACACAUGCAAGUCGGACGGUAGCACAGAGGAGCUUGCUCCUCGGGUGACGAGUGGCGGACGGGUGAGUAAUGUCUGGGAAACUGCCCGAUGGAGGGGGAUAACUACUGGAAACGGUAGCUAAUACCGCAUAACGUCGCAAGACCAAAGUGGGGGACCUUCGGGCCUCACACCAUCGGAUGUGCCCAGAUGGGAUUAGCUGGUAGGCGGGGUAACGGCCCACCUAGGCGACGAUCCCUAGCUGGUCUGGGAGGAUGACCAGCCACACUGGACCUGAGACACGGUCCAGACUCCUACGGGAGGCAGCAGUGGGGAAUAUUGCACAAUGGGCGCAAGCCUGAUGCAGCCAUGCCGCGUGUAUGAAGAAGGCCUUCGGGUUGUAAAGUACUUUCAGCGGGGAGGAAGGUGCUGAGGUUAAUAAGCUCAGCAAUUGACGUUACCCGCAGAAGAAGCACCGGCUAACUCCGUGCCAGCAGCCGCCGUAA